rnacentral:sRNA from 1 species
UACAGUGAUGCCGAUAUUUUCUUGCUGGAUGACCCACUGUCCGCGGUGGACUCUCAUGUGGCCAAGCACAUCUUUGACCACGUCAUCGGGCCAGAAGGUGUGCUGGCAGGCAAGACGCGAGUGCUGGUGACGCACGGCAUUAGCUUCCUGCCCCAGACAGACUUCAUCAUCGUGCUAGCUGAUGGACAGGUGUCUGAGAUGGGCCCCUACCCAGCCCUGCUGCAGCGCAACAGCUCCUUUGCCAACUUUCUCUGCAACUAUGCCCCCGAUGAGGACCAAGGGCACCUGGAGGACAGCUGGACCGCGUUGGAAGGUGCAGAGGAUAAGGAGGCACUGCUGAUUGAAGACACACUCAGCAACCACACGGAUCUGACAGACAAUGAUCCAGUCACCUACGUGGUCCAGAAGCAGUUUAUGAGAUGGGGAGGGACAGGGUCGGCCUGUACCCCGGAGGCACCUGGGUCCAUCGGAGAAGGUGCGGGUGACAGAGGCGAAGGCAGAUGGGGCACUGACCCAGAAGGAGAAAGCAGAGAUUGGCAC